rnacentral:rRNA from 1 species
CACGUAGGGUGCGAGCGUUGUCCGGAAUUAUUGGGCGUAAAGAGCUCGUAGGCGGUGUGUCGCGUCGGCCGUGAAAACCUGCAGCUUAACUGUGGGCUUGCGGUCGAUACGGGCAGGCUGGAGUUCGGUAGGGGAGACUGGAAUUCCUGGUGUAGCGGUGAAAUGCGCAGAUAUCAGGAAGAACACCCGUGGCGAAGGCGGUUCUCUGGGCAGUAACUGACGCUGAGGAGCGAAAGCGUGGGGAGCGAACAGG